rnacentral:rRNA from 1 species
AGAGAGAGACAUGCGCGCAUAUCAAUAAGCGGAGGAAAAGAAACUAACUAAGGAUUCCCUCAGUAACGGCGAGUGAAGCGGGAAGAGCUCAAAUUUGAAAUCUUAAAGGGUUUCCCUUUACGAAUUGUAGUUUAAAGAAGUGUUUUCUGUUGAGGUUUUGGUAAAAGUUCUUUGGAAUAGGACAUCAUAGAGGGUGAGGAUCCCGUAUUUGACCUUUACUUUCAACUUUGUGAUACACUUUCAAAGAGUCGGAUUGUUUGGGAAUGCAGUCCAAAAUGGGUGGUAAAUUUCAUCUAAAGCUAAAUAUUGGCGAGAGACCGAUAGCGAACAAGUACCGUGAGGGAAAGAUGAAAAGAACUUUGAAAAGAGAGUUAAACAGUACGUGAAAUUGUCAAAAGGGAAGCGUUUGACACCAGUGUUGUUUUUCUGAAAAUCAGUUAAAGAACUGUUUAUGCUAAGUUGUUUAGACUUUAUCAGCUAACUGUUUAGUUUUGAGCUUUUCUUUAAUGCACUUUUCAGUUAACAAGUCAACAUCAAUUUCUUUUGCUGUAAAAAAGCUUGAGGAAGGUGGCUUGAGAUUCGUCUUAAGUGUUUAUAGCCUCUUGCCUAUGCAGUCGGAGAGAUUGAGGUCUGCAGCGUAGAUCCUUCGGGGCUAAAUGCAUUUGUGCUAAGUUAUAGCAUUUUAUAGACAACUUGUUGACUAUGAUUUGUCUUGUAGCUUACUCGCUUAUAUUAUUUUACCUACGCUUAGGAUGUUGAGCGCAUGUCUCUCUCU